rnacentral:rRNA from 1 species
AUUGAACGCUGGCGGAAUGCUUUACACAUGCAAGUCGAACGGCAGCACGGACUCCGGUCUGGUGGCGAGUGGCGAACAGGUGAGUAAUGUAUCGGAACGUGCCCAGUCGUGGGGGAUCACGUAGUGAAAAUUACGCUAAUACCGCAUACGAUCUAUGGAUGAAAGCGGGGGAUCGCAAGACCUCGCGCGAUUGGAGCGGCCGAUAUCAGAUUAGGUAGUUGGUGGGGUAAAGGCCCACCAAGCCAACGAUCUGUAGCUGGUCUGAGAGGACGACCAGCCACACUGGAACUGAGACACGGUCCAGACUCCUACGGGAGGCAGCAGUGGGGAAUUUUGGACAAUGGGCGAAAGCCUGAUCCAGCCAUUCCGCGUGCAGGAUGAAGGCCCUCGGGUUGUAAACUGCUUUUGUACAGAACGAAAAGGUUUCUACUAAUACUAGGAGCUCAUGACGGUACUGUAAGAAUAAGCACCGGCUAACUACGUGCCAGCCGCCGCAGUAA